rnacentral:rRNA from 1 species
UAGAGUUUGAUCAUGGCUCAGGAUGAACGUUGGCGGUGUGCCUAAUACAUGCAAGUCGAACGGUGAUAUUUUUGUAGUAAUACGAAUUUAUCAUAGUGGCGAACGGGUGAGUAACGCGUUGGUGAUCUGCCUCGAAGUGUGGAAUAACGUCCCGGAAGGAACGCUAAUACCGCAUGUGCUCUCGAUUUUUAGAAAGUUGAGAGUAAAGGAUUUAUUCGCUUCGAGAGGAGCCUGCGUCCCAUCAGCUAGUUGGUAAGGUAAUGGCCUACCAAGGCAAUGACGGGUAGGGGACCUGAGAGGGUGGCCCCCCACAAUGGAACUGAAACACGGUCCAUACACCUACGGGUGGCAGCAGUAGGGAAUAUUAGAAAUGGACGAAAGUCUGAUCUAGCGACACCGCGUGUGCGAUGAAGGCCUUCGGGUUGUAAAGCACUUUUUGGAAGGAAUAGGAAGGAAGGUACUUCCAGAAUAAGUCUCGGCUAACUACGUGCCAGCAGCCGCGGUAACACGUAGGAGGCAAACGUUAUCCGGAUUUACUGGGCGUAAAGCGCGUGUAGGUGGUUCUGUAAGUAGGGCGUGAAAGCUCCCGGCUCAACUGGGAGAGGCCGUUCUAAACUGCAGAGCUAGAGGAUGGUAGAGGGAGGUGAAUUCCAGGUGUAGCGGUGGAAUGCGCAGAUAUCUGGAGGAACACCAGUGGCGAAGCGGCUUCUGGACCAUUCCUGACACUCAAACGCGAAAGCUAGGGUAGCAACGGGA